CUCAACGAUGAUGCAUGCAUGUCAACUAUGUGUGUUGGCUCCAACAAUUCGCAUUGGUCUCAAACCAAUGACAUGCAUUUCGAAGACAAUGAGUUCGAGGUGGACGGGGAUGGUGAGGGCAAUGUCGACGCACCGAAAGGAAGAGCGGGCAAUUACACCAACGCUGAAGACAUCUUAUUGUGCAAUACUUGGUUGCAAGUGUCGAGGGAUCCAUCCGUUGGAGGUGAUCAAAGUAGAGAUGCUUAUUGGAACCGGAUGAAGGAACACUUUGAUGUUCGCAACAUGAGUGGAAUUGACCGCUCCGAGCGAUCUCUUCGGUCCCGGUGGUCGACAAUCAACAAAGAUUGUCAAAAGUGGGCGGCGACGGUUGACAAGUUGAACCCAAGUGGCACCAAUGAGGACAAUAGAGUAAGUGCCAUUUCAUCCAUGUUCAUCAUACUUGUUGUUGGUGUUUGA
rnacentral:rRNA from 1 species